GGUCGUUUAGCUUAGUUGGUAGAACGUAAUACUCUUAACCUUGUGGUUGUGGGUUCGAGCCCCACAGUGGGUG
rnacentral:tRNA from 7 species